GGGGCCGCGGCCGGGAGGCUCUGUGGCCACAACAGUGGAGAGGGAGAUGGUGCUGGGGGAGCCGCCUGGCUUCAUCGAGGGUAGGCGCUGCCUGAACGGCUUAGCGACCUUCUUUGAUGUUGUAACUGCACCAGUGAACAAGGGAAGAUAUCAUCUGUCUGGACUUCAGUAAGGCCUUUGAUACGGUCCUCCAUAAUAUCCUUCUCUCCACCUUGGAAAGGUAUGGAUUUGAUGGGUGGCCUGUUUGAAGGACAGGGAAGUGGUUGCAAGAUCGUGCUCAGAGAUUGGUGGCCAAUGGCACAAUGGCCAGACGGAAACCAGUGGUGACAAGUGGUGUCUCUCAGGGGUCUGUAGUGGUUCUGAUGCACCCAAACAUCUUCAUCAGUGACGUGGGCAGAGGGGUCGAGCACACCCUCAACAAGUUUGCUGAUGACACCAAGCUGUGGUGUGUGCUUGGCACACCUGAGAGACAGGAUGCCGUCCAGGCAGACCUAGACAGGCUCAUGCAGUGGGCCCUGGAGGACAUCUUGAGGUUUAACAAAGCCAAAUGCAAGGUCUUGCACCUGGGUCCUGGCAACCUCCACUACCCAUACAAAUUGAGGGAUGUAAGGGUGGAGCACAGCCCUGAUGAAAAGGACUUCGAGGUACUGGUGGAUGGGAAGCUGGAGAUGGGCCAGCAAUGUGCCAUUACAGCCAGAAAGCCAACUGUGUCCUCGGCUGCAUCAAAAGAAGUGUGGCCAGCAGGACGAGGAAGGUGAUCCUGCCCUUCUGCUCUGCAUUGGAGAGGCCUCACCUGGAGUACUGUGUCCAAAUGCAAAGUUAUCAGUACAGGAGAGACAUGGGAUUGUUGGAGCGUGUCCAGAAGAGGGCCACAAAAGUCAUCCAAGAGAUGGAAUGCCUCUCCUACGAAGAUAUGCUGAGAGAGCUGGGGCUGUUCAGCAUUCGGAAGAGGCUCCAGGGUGAACCUAGAGCAGCCUUUCAGUAUCUAAAGGGGGACUGUAAGAAGGAAGGGGACAGACUCUUUAGCAGGACCUGUUGUGAUAGGACAAGGGGACAUGGUAUCAAACUAAAAGAGGGGAGACUGAGGCUGGGUAUAAUGAAAAAGUUUUUUACAGUAAGGGUAGUGAAGCACUGAAGCAUAUUGCCCAGAGAGGUGCUAGAUGCCCUGUCCCUGUAGCAUUCUAGGUCAGACUGAACAUGGCUCUGAGCAACCUAGUCUAUCUGUAAGUGUCCCUCUUCAGAUCAGGGAAGUUGAACUUGAUGACCUUUAAAGGUCUCUUCCAACUGAAACAUUUCUGUGAUUUUUUGAAAAUGUGUAAAUGUUGUACUCUCAGACCUGUUUAUGUAUGUUUGUCUCCUAUGACCAUGUCUUUAUUUCAGCAGUCCACACUUCUCUCUGGACUUGCUGUGGUCCCUCUGGGGUGAGGCCCACCAGGCAGGUUCAUCUGGCUCUGAGGACAAUUCCCAUGUUUCCCACUACCUGGACAGUGCAAGGGGAGCCUGCUGCUCUGCAGGCCUGCACCCAGCACUGAGUUUGCCAUCUCAUUGUGUGUUUUAAUGUCUUUCAUGUCAGUUAUGCUCUGAAAUAUUCUCAGUAAAAUAUUCCCUUUGUUCUUGUUUCUAUCAGACAGUAGUAAAUAUAUCCUUAUAUGUUCUGCAGUGCUAAGGCUUCCAUGUUAUUAAUUCCCAUUGUGAGUCCAUGUCCAGGCUCCAAAUGUGUGUGCAGACUUAAUUUGUUCUGAUGAUCUCUCCUUGCUGCUUCAGAGCUGGGUAUGGAUUUGGAAGCAAGUUGCCCAGCACAGAAGUCUUUUUUUUUUGCUGUCAAAGAGUGAACUUCUGUAACUACAGCAGGACAAUUUCUCUUCUCUUACUGCGGCCCAAGCAAGCCGAAGGGUUGGACGCCUAUGCCCUAAUGAGAAUGAAUGAAGAACCCUCGUCGACUCCAUCUAGUGGUGGUGACAGGGAAUUGAACAGAUGGAUCCCGUAGACAUCUGUAUGCAGAAUUUGAGGGAAUUCAUUCAUUUAAGCGGCAGAAGAGCUUUGGCCCUCAGUAAGACAACAGGUUACACGUCAGAGAAGUUGUUACAACAUGACCCCGACGCAGCGCUGUCUCUCCCAAGGAUGGCACAUUUAGCCUGGGGUGAACGAGGACUAAAUCUGCCCUGCUUUCAGAUGUGCAGUUCUCAACAUGCUGCCGUGGACGUGCUCAGCAUGCUAAUGCCGUGGCAGCUGUGUGAGUGUGAUUCAUUCUGGGUUUUGCCUUUGGCUGUCCGGUCUCCGGGGUCAGCUCAGUGCUCAGCGGGAGACACUUGUGAACAGCUACCAAAUGGGCUGAGCUAGAAAAGGUGUGGAGAGAUGGAUGGCCGAGGUUAUCAGCACUUCAGUUAUUUCUGCAUUAAUUCAGUGCUUCUGAGACAGAAUGAAAAUGAGACCACCAAACAAGACGUGAUAACAAGACGUCAUGAAUAGCAGGGAGAGGUUGACUGAAAGUAAUUGAUUGUUCACUCUGUCUUCUGGUAAGAAAAUGAGUGUUGGUUUAAAUGAGCAGGUAACUGGCUUAAAGCAAACUGAUGGAGACGCUUCAUACCACAUGUGGUUAAAGCUGGGAAACAUUUCACUGCAGAACAUGCUCAGUGGUACAAAUGUACACGAUGUUACAAACUGUCUGAACAAAUUCACAGUGGAAAACGCAUCACAGGCUAUUAAAUUCAGGGGCUAUCUUUGGCUUAAACAAAUAAUGAUGCCAAGAUUUCUGGCAGCUACAAAACAGUUCUACACAUUUUCCUUGUGCUUUUAUUCUUCCCUAAACGUUUGGUGUUUGCUACUGUUGAAGACUGAUUUGGUACUAUAUGGGUCAUCUGACUUGAUAAAAAUUCUGCUUGUUUUCUUGGGAGAUUUGAAUCAAAUUUUACAGGAAUUGAAGGACCAAAAGAGCCUUACAAGAAAUGAAUUUCACAAAUCACAGCAGAAGCACUUGCCCUGCAGGAAUUAUAGAGUGAAGAAAAAGCAAGAAGAAGGAAACAAACAAUAAUAAUUAAAAAAAAAAAAUAGGGGAAUGGAAAAAAAUGUCAUGUUUGAUAGGAGGUGGAUGGCAGGGCCAUCUGCAAGGGUGAAAAACUUCUUUCCAGUAGUCAGUGUGGUAGGAAGCCCCACAUUUUCCUUCAGCCUUCUUCAGCUUUGCAGGUCUGAUGCAUUGCUUUUUUGCAUGGCCACAGGGACCUGUAAUUGCAGCACCUGCAGAUCUCCUAAUGGUGGCGUUACUUUCACCCAGAACUACGCAGCUCUAAACCAGGAUUGGAAGAGGGGGACAGCAGAAGUGGGGCCAUGCUUGUAGUCUCCGUGACACUGAGAAAUGGAGACCACAGCUAUAUCUGCAGCAAUCCCUGUCAGGUAGCACUGUCCUGUUGCAGCAUCACUGAUGGAGGAUGUUUUCUUUCCUUAAGGCAACCAACACAGUAUGCACUCCAAUUUUUGGCUCAGGGAAUCAUAUUGAUACAAAUUGCAUGUUUUCCAGGAAAAAAAAAAUAAUUUUAAUAAUGGAAAGUGAGGUUUUGCAGGAAGAACUUAUAUCUGAGUGUGGAGAAGUAUAAGGGUGUGCCAAAAUAGCAAUGCAUUUGGGGCUGGAGCUGCAAGUUGCAGCAGGGCCAGGGUGGGCUCUUCAGCUCCAGCAGGGGUAGCUGGAGGCCAGAGUCAGCCUUGCUAUGUCCAGGCUGUCCUGGCUCACCUGCAGAUAGCCAAACACCCAGCAAACACCUGGGGAUUGACAUAGCCCAUGCAAUGCUCCGGAGGGCUCUGCCAUCCUGCUGCACAAUUGGGAAUAGCUGCAAAAAACACAGAGUGCCCCGACCAGCACACAACAUGACUGCACCCUAGACCAUGGCUGGGGGGCUCUGUGAAGUUCCAUCCUUGCUGCUUCUGCGGGAGCUAUGGAUGCAGGGCCCCUGCUCAGGUAAAGGGCAGGAGUCACCCAGACUUCCUUUGCAGAUUGCCAGAGCAGUUUGAUCCAACACAUGCACCACGCUAAUAAAAUGUGGGGGUGCUCAUAUCCAUGCGCAUAGGAAUUCUGUGAAUUAUAAUUAAUUUUUAUUUAUAUUAAUUAUACAAAUUAAUUAUUUUGCUUACUUUUGAUAAUUAAAAAAAAAUAGUAUUUAAAUAUUUUUUUUCUUUUAAUAAAAAAGAAAUCUGAGCAGUGA